rnacentral:rRNA from 1 species
AACGAUGCACAUUUGGUGUGGGUCAUUCAGUUGAUCCGUGCCGGAGCUAACGCGUUAAAUGUGCCGCCUGGGGAGUACAGUCGCAAGGCUGAAACUCAAAGGAAUUGACGGGGGCCCGCACAAGCGGUGGAGCAUGUGGUUCAAUUCGACGCAACGCGAAGAACCUUACCUGGGCUCGAACGGCCGGUUACCGGCGGUGGAAACGUCGCUACCCCGCAAGGGGGUCCGGUCGAGGUGCUGCAUGGCUGUCGUCAGCUCGUGUCGUGAGAUGUUGGGUUAAGUCCCGCAACGAGCGCAACCCUUGUCCUGUGUUGCCAUGCCGAAAGGCGGAACUCGCAGGAGACCGCCAGCGAUAAGCUGGAGGAAGGUGGGGAUGACGUCAAGUCCUCAUGGCCUUUAUGUCCAGGGCUACACACGUGCUACAAUGGCCGGUACAAAGCGCUGCAAGCCCGCGAGGGGGAGCCAAUCGCAAAAAACCGGUCUCAGUUCGGAUUGCAGGCUGCAACUCGCCUGCAUGAAGCUGGAAUCGCUAGUAAUGGCAGAUCAGCACGCUGCCGUGAAUACGUUCCCGGGCCUUGUACACACCGCCCGUCACAUCACGAAAGUGGAUUGUACUAGAAGUCUGCAGGCUGACCCGCAAGGGAGGCAGCGGCCCAAGGUAUGAUCCAUGAUUGGGGUGAAGUCGUAACAAGGUAACCA